AGCACCACCAAAUAAUGCAAACCUGCAUCAACCAAAGAUGAUGAGCAAUUGCUCAUACAUACCAAUGACAGGCAUUAAAUGCAACAAAGUAAAACUAAAGAAAACAAAACUUCAAGCCAAUAUGUCACUUAAGGAAGAUGAACAGGGAGGCAAAAUGGCCUUAGCCAUUCAUAGUCCAUACUGAGUAGCAUUUAGCUUGGUCAUAUUAAUGCAUUUGCCAAUCUUGGAUCAAGUUUGAGUUAAGCUAAAUAGAAGCUACUUAAUUUUGGCUCAAAUGACAGCUUAAGAAAAAUUAAGUUGCUAAACAAGGCACACAAUUGGCAUCUCCUCUGUUUUCAUUGGAGAGAUGGCUCAUCUGUAUUAUUGGUUUUAUGACCUGACACUCUUUUGCAGAUUACUGACCACAUUGCCUUGUUUGAACGUGUCACUGACUUUUGUAUAAAUAGGAUUCAACUUUAUAAAGUCAUCAAAUAAGGUAUUGAUUUGAAGUUUGAAAAUUUGAAAAAUUGAAAAGCUUGAAAAAUAUUUCCUUCACAACUUAACACUCUCCCUAAGAUCAGUGUCGUUGUUGCAAAGUUCACCCAUGUUUUAAGCAGCCACCAAUUUGUUGAACAUUGUCACUUUGGUCUUGAAUUUUUAGGACUGAAGAAAAAGGAAAAGCCAGUUUUAUACAAACAGCUGCUCAUGAAAAGUUGUUCAUGUGCAGUCAUGGACAUGAAGCACAACCAAAAACUUUGUUUUCAUUUUAGAAGAUAGACACAAGAUUAAGCAGUCAACAGAUCCUCACAAGAUUAAGCAGUCAACAUAUACUCAAAUUAUUAUCUACAAGAAGGAAUCAGAA
rnacentral:misc_RNA from 1 species